rnacentral:rRNA from 1 species
UACGUAGGUGGCAAGCGUUGUCCGGAUUUACUGGGCGUAAAGGGCGUGCAGGCGGUCUGUUAAGUCUAGGGUGAAAGCUCCCGGCUCAACUGGGAGAGGUCCUUGGAUACUGGCGGACUUGAGGGAGGCAGAGGAAAGUGGAAUUCCCGGUGUAGUGGUGAUAUGCGUAGAUAUCGGGAGGAACACCAGUGGCGAAGGCGGCUUUCUGGGCCUUACCUGACGCUGAGACGCGAAAGCGUGGGGAGCGAUCCGG